CCUCGAAUCAGGCGGGACUACCCGCUGAACUUAA
rnacentral:rRNA from 1 species